rnacentral:rRNA from 1 species
UACGGGGGGAGCAAGCGUUGUUCGGAUUUACUGGGCGUAAAGGGCGCGUAGGCGGUAGCACAAGUCAGUUGUGAAAUCUCCGGGCUUAACUCGGAAAGGUCAACUGAUACUGUGCGACUAGAGUGCAGAAGGGGCAACUGGAAUUCUCGGUGUAGCGGUGAAAUGCGUAGAUAUCGAGAGGAACACCUGCGGCGAAGGCGGGUUGCUGGGCUGACACUGACGCUGAGGCGCGAAAGCGUGGGUAGCAAACGGG